CCUGUCGGGAAGGCGGGGCGUGCCCGGCUUCCGCCCUUUCCCUCCGGGCAGAGCGGGGGCGGCCCGCUCCCCACGUCCUCGCCGUUCGCGGUGGCGCGGCCCGGCCCCGGCUCGUCCGGAGCACGGGGGAGUGGGUUAGAACACCCCGAGUCAGUAGGUGGGCGAGGAGCCCCCAAGACUUACUCUCAGGCACGGGGCGCUACGGGGACUUUAGAGGGAGCGGGCCCGACUCUGGGUCUGGGAAAGGGUGGGUGAGCAGAGGGCCCGCGAGUGUAGACAGAGAGGGUUCCGCAGGCCGGGAAGAGGCGAGGAGGAGGUCGGGGCAGACGCAGGUGCAGCCCAAGGGGGAGUUCCUUGCUGCGUGGCUUGGUGCUGCAGCUGGUGACCCGGUCUGCCUCAGGCUGCGGGUGUUUUCUGACGGAAUGGCAGUAGCCUGCUGGCCACUGAGAUUACAGAUGCCUCCCUCCCACUGCUCUACUGGCUACUCCAGCCGGUUCCAGUUGAACUAACUUGGCCGUGAGAAGGUGCUUUAUGUCACUACACCAAGGGAUCGGUGUCAGAGAGAGCGCUGCGGGAAGGCUUGGGCUUCGGAUGGGACCUGCCGGACUUGUGCAGUGGCCCUUGGCUUCACGUGAGGCCAGGUCCACCGUCCACCGGCCUUCUGCAGGGCUGUCCCCUCCUGCAGACCUUGCUUUGUGAGUCAGUAGCCGGGUGGGCGAUGCACUCUUGGCUCCUUUGCAACUCAGCCCCGGCUGCGUGGGGCUUCUGCACACUGAGCUGCGACUUGGUGCCUCUCCAGCGGGUUUCAAUAAGCAGUUUUACUGUGAAGUCGUUUGUACUAUGGAGGGGUCUUAUAUGGAAGAGUGGAAAUUUGCCUUGCAAAUGACUUUUCCUGUGCUGACCAUCUAAAAAAAGUAUUUGGCCCUUGGGGCCAGCAGGGGGCAUGGUGGUUAAGGCACUGGAUUUCCACAUGGCUGACAACUGUUGUAAUCCCAGACCUGGUGGCUUGAAAGUCAUGCAGGAGGCAUUGGCAUACGUGCCCAAAUCACAAGAAAAGAAUGGAGAAGGGAUUGCAGCGUGGCCAUCCCUGCCUGGGUGAUUGCUCCCUCCUUCUCUCCUGUCUCUGGUUCGCAGAACGGGAAUCCGGGUCCUGGUGCUCGUGCCGGGUGUUCUGUGUACCCUGAAAUGCCACCGUGUGCAUCUCCAUCAGGCUGAGGUGGAACUGGACUAAGGUGAGCAGAUUCUGCCUGCCCCCUAGCCGUGGCAGUGUCACCUUCUGCCUCCCAGUACCUUAGCGCUGAGGUCACGGCGGUGCCAGGAGGGCUGUAGCCGCGGAGCUAGGUGGUGGCACAUCCGGAGACAGACACAGGCCUCUGCACCUCUGCCCUUCCCUCACGUGGGGACUCCCGGGCGGGGACAAGUUCCCGUCAGAACUAGCGUCCUUCACUUGACCACCUGCCCUGUGCAGCCUGCGGGGACGCCAGGGGACGUUUGCCCCCGAGUUACCAGGAACGAGGCCCAGCCCCUCGGAGGAGCAGACGGUGGGGCACAGCCCUUUCAGUGGCCCCUUGUCUGCCUGGAGCAGCGGGGCAGAGCGACCUCUCGGAGCUGGGGACAAUGGCGCCGCCACGAGUGCUUGUGGGCUAAGCCAAGGACUCAAGGCAGGCUUAGUCCGGAGAGGAAGCUGACGAGGCCUUCACGCUGGGAGCGAGACGUGUCCUGGGCACACACCAGACUGCACUGCGGAGGCCAGGCCAGUAGAAACCAUUGACGUUUAUUGGCGGUCACAAUGCGUACACUGGAUGCAGCAAACACCCUUACAAGUCUAUCCGCAACCUGAUCGGGAGAAAGGGCUCACCACAGUC